GACGAACGCUGGCGGCGUGCCUAAUACAUGCAAGUUGAGCGCUGAAGGUUGGUACUUGUACCGACUGGAUGAGCAGCGAACGGGUGAGUAACGCGUGGGGAAUCUGCCUUUGAGCGGGGGACAACAUUUGGAAACGAAUGCUAAUACCGCAUAAAAACUUUAAACACAAGUUUUAAGUUUGAAAGAUGCAAUUGCAUCACUCAAAGAUGAUCCCGCGUUGUAUUAGCUAGUUGGUGAGGUAAAGGCUCACCAAGGCGAUGAUACAUAGCCGACCUGAGAGGGUGAUCGGCCACAUUGCGACUGAGACACGGCCCAAACUCCUACGGGAGGCAGCAGUAGGGAAUCUUCGGCGAUGGACGAGAGUCUGACCGAGCAACGCCGCGUGAGUGAAGAAGGUUUUCGGAUCGUAAAACUCUGUUGGUAGAGAAGAACGUUGGUGAGAGUGGAAAGCUCAUCAAGUGACGGUAACUACGCAGAAAGGGACGGCUAACUACGUG
rnacentral:rRNA from 1 species